GCAUUAAUGGGGUAGUGGUAACCUGGGUCGUUGCCAUGCGGGAAUCAAAACAUAAAUGCUCGACCCGCCGGGGGUUCGAUUCCCCCUUAAUGCA